rnacentral:lncRNA from 1 species
AGCUCUUCCUCGCGAUGGUGAACGGCGAAGGUUGUGGUCACCGAGAUUUUUCAUGGUGGUGGCGAAUCGUCGCUGCUAAUCCAUUCCAUUGUAGAAAUUUGUGAGAGGGAAAAUAUGGAGAAGAAUGAAAUAGGGAUUUGGGGGUAUCGUUCUUGAAGAAGAGGGAAUAUGUGUUUAGAGAUUUUAUUUUGGCUAUUUUUAUUUCUUAGUUUUUUUU